GCCACAUGAUGAGAGUAGCUUCAUUAGCUCUUGGGCUGUGAUGACCAAUCUAUCUAUCACCCUUCUCUGAUGGCU
rnacentral:snoRNA from 1 species